AAUAUUGGCUGGAGGGAUGCACUGCUCCAGAAACAGGUCCUCCUCAUCUUCCUCCAUGUCCAUGGUCUCCGGAGGCCAGCGCAGCUCUCCGCUCUCCACCUCAUUCAACUCUGUGGGUUCCACAACGAUGGAGGGUAGACGCUCCUUAGCAUGGUCGUGGUCCAGGCAGUUCAAAGUGGUCUCUGGGCCCAGGACAACCUCAACAGGGUCAGGGAAGAUCUGGAGGGAAAUGGGGCAGAAAUGUCAUACUGAAACAAAACAGGAGAACCAGGAAAAAGGAUUAUUCCUUGUUACUCCUUAUUCCUGACAUCCUUCCACCAAAAAUAGAAGUUGCCUUCACAGCCAUGCUACACGUCACUGUCAGCUCUCCCUACUCCUGAAGCUUGUGGGUGUACUGGUCAGUGAGGGAGACGUCUACAAUCCUCACCCAAGCAUCUUCAACUGCCCUCCGGAGAGACUUUAUGCCUUCACUGUGCACAUGUUUGUGGACGGGCUCAGUGUGUCAAAUAAAAGAAUGGAGAGACUUUGGCUUCAGUGCAUCACACUAAUCUUCUUAAUAUAUGCAGCCGGUAUCAGAAGCCUAGUGCAGCUGUCCAUAGCAGACAUGGUGUGGGUGAAUGUUUGGGGUCAUGGUUGACAUGAGAUUAUUGCAACAAAAGAUGAUGAAACUGUCUUUGCUGGGUUUCAUUUAUGGCACUAGAGUCAGAUACAGGAGUUUGAAAUUAUGUCGUGGGACUGUGAAUUAAUCAUAAUUCACCGUGUAACAGAUCAUUAACUGGAUUUAAUAAAUUGUUAUAUACUGUAUAUUUAUAUAUAUAGUGUGUGUUUUUUAUCAUAUUUGUAGUUGUGUCUGAUUAUUGUUUUACUUUAAAUUCCGAAAUCAUCUGUUUACAAAGGCAUUUUAAAUUCAAGAGUUUAUAAUUACCAAUUUGGUUUGUGUUAAUGCAUCAAUUUAGAAUGUUCUUGCCAUGUCUUAGCCAUGACAUUUAACAAUUGCAUACGUUUCUGGGCAUGUUUUGUGGCUUAUGACAAGGCUGAAAUGUAUUAGCAUUUUGCUCCUGAAAGCAACUAUGUACAAAAACUGUUUUUUAAAACAAUAUAGAUUAUUAUUGUUCAAGAGUGCCUCUUUUCCCUCAGUCAUGCACAGAACAAAGGUAAGAUUUUUUUUAUUAUGUGUACAAAAAAUGCACAAUAUCUAAUCUGUCAAACACCACUUAUCACUUGUAGUAUUUUCCACCAAUUUUGAGCUCUAAUUUCAGUAGAUUAUAACUCCAAGAGUUGGUUUAAGUGGUAUUUGUACAUGUAUCCUACAAUACUGCAGAAUGCAAAUUUGCAAAUGAAUGAUCUCACAACUUUAUGCUUGUUAUGACUAAAAACCAACAAUACCUGUUUUUGAACACCAGCUUACUUGACAAGAACAUUUUGAAACAUUUGUUGUUAAUAUGGAGAUUGGACAACAUGUAGAGAGGCAGAGGAACUGAUUAUCAGUUUGUUUCUCAAUGCUGCCCUUAAUCACCCAUCUGGCUUAGGUUUACCCACUAAGAAUCUCUGCUAACUACUAAUUAUAUCCUGCCAUUUGAUGUAGAAGUGCAGAUUGAAGAUGAAAAUCAAAAGAAAUUUCUAAAUCCCGUUGAGAAAUUUAAGAUAAAUCGUAAAUCGUGGUUAAUAACAGCAUCUCUAGCUAUGAUUUUUUUUUUUUGCAUACAAAAUCCAGCUAUUUGAAUGUAAUUUUCUAAAUAGCAUCACUAAACUCCACCUUUGCAAACAGGAAGAUUAUAAUUAGUGCAGACAAGCAAAUCUUGUUAUUACUGAGUUAACAAUAAUUUAAAGAAGCAUGAUAACCUCUGUCAGUGCAAAGUGUCUUCUUCCCUAUUAACCAGUUACUCAAUGCCGUACAAAAACCUACAUCACUGGACAGUAUUUAUAUUAUACGUAUCUUCUGUUGUCGUUUCUGCUGCACAAAUUUUGAACUGCAUGUGAUAUUCUGAUGUUGCAACAUCUAUACCAAUGUCACUUCCUUCCUAUCUCAAUGUCAAACCAACCACUAAAAUAUUGUGUUGUUAACUGUUACUUUACAAAUGCACUAAACUGCCGGGAAAACCCUAUGACAAAUGUUUGUCAGGC